UCGACAUCAUACAAGAAACCAAUGAGCAGGCUAGAGAAGAUCGCCCAACUCCGGCUUCUACCAUCAGCAAUGCUGGUAGGCCCCAGAAUAUACAAUUACACCGGCUUUUACUGUGAUCACCUACCGUGUACGACAACAACGUCAGGGCACUUGUUGGUAUUGAUUUCAACGGCUACCAACUUGUUGCAUACCCACUUGCCAUCGAUGUAGUCCCAUGAGGUUUUGUUAGACCUUUCUUCUUGAGCUGCAAAAGGAACAACGUAGAAGAUGAUCCUCCUCUUAGUGACACAAAUGCAUUGCAAAUUAAAUUAGGGGAAGGGAGCUAAGGCUCCGUUUGGGAAGAGUGUAAAACGUAGUUCGAGGGAAAUAUGCACCCUGGGUCAGUUUUCUCUCCAUUUGGUAAAGUGGUUAAUGAACCCUGAAAAUUGAGGGAAAUAUAUAAUAUUGUCAGCAUUUCCCUCGAUUUUAGAGUGUAAAUGCACAUCAAGAAAAAGAAAGCAAACCUAUGUUGGAGAGCUUUCCAUCAAUGGAAAGAGAAGACUGAUUUGCUCUCUUCGUCGCAUCUUCUCGUCAAGGAACACCACAACAAUGGUUACUUGUCACCAAUGGCUACCCAUUAUUUCCUUGCCCUCCGAUGAUGGAAACAGAAAACUUGAACUACUAUUUCGAGCUCCAAUGGCUACCUAACAUCUCAGGAAAAGUUGUAGAAAAAAAGAAUACUCAAGAUCACACUCAAUCAUCCAAAAGGUACAGUACUAUGGUUCUAUUUCCUGUGAAACUAAAAUUUUAAAUUAUUAGUUUUUUUUUUAUUUUUUUUAAUGUUGCCAACUUGGAACUUGCAAUGUUAGUAGACUUUUUCUCUCA